UACGUAGGGACCGAGCGUUGUCCGGAAUCAUUGGGCGUAAAGAGCGUGUAGGCGGCCACUUAAGUCCUGCGUGAAAUCUUGCGGCUCAACCGCAAGCGGUCGUGGGAAACUGGGUGGCUAGAGUGCGGGAGAGGAGAGUGGAAUUCCUGGUGUAGCGGUGGAAUGCGCAGAUAUCAGGAAGAACACCCGUGGCGAAGGCGGCUCUCUGGAACGCAACUGACGCUCAUGCACGACAGCGUGGGGAUCAAACAGG
rnacentral:rRNA from 1 species